rnacentral:rRNA from 2 species
GCGGACUCCGUGCGAGUAGCGGAGGUAAGAGGUGGGGUGGAAACGUUGCGCGGAAGAAUUGGGCGUAAAGGGUGGGUAUGCGGCCUGGUAAGUCGGGUGUGAAAGCCCUGGGCUCAACCCAGGAAGUGCAGUCGAAACUGGCAGGCUUGAGUACAGGAGAGGGUCGCGGAAUUCCCGGUGUAGAGGUGAAAUUCGUAGAUAUCGGGAGGAACACCAGUGGCGAAGGCGGCGACCUGGACUGAUACUGACGCUGAGACACGAAAGCGUGGGGAGCAAACAGGAUUAGAUACCCGAGUAGUC